GGCGGGAUCGUCCCGGGCGCGGUCGAGAGGCCAGACCCGGAGCAAGGCGCCCGCCGGGGACCCAAACCCCUACGUUUUUCUCACGGUUUUCUUCUGAGUGGCUUAUAAAGCAAAAAAAUGAAUUAAAACUUUCAACAAUGGAUCUCUUGGCUCUGGCAUCGAUGAAGAACGCAGCGAAAUGCGAUAAGUAAUGUGAAUUGCAGAAUUCAGUGAAUCAUCGAAUCUUUGAACGCACAUUGCGCCCGCCAGUAUUCUGGCGGGCAUGCCUGUCCGAGCGUCAUCUCAACCCUCGAGCCCCCACGGGGGAUCGGUGUUGGGGACCGGCCCUGCCUCGCAGCGGGCGCCGCCCCCCAAAUUCAGUGGCGGUCCCGUCGCGCCUCCCUUGCGUAGUAGCUCUUUUGAAACCUCGCACCGGAGCGCGUCGGGUCCACGCCGUAAAACCCCAACUUCUGGAAGGUGACCUCGGAUCAGG
rnacentral:rRNA from 1 species